AGCAGCCGCGGUAAUUCCAGCUCCAAUAGCGUAUAUUAAAGUUGUUGCAGUUAAAAAGCUCGUAGUUGAAUUUCGGGGUUCUAUCGUUGGUCGGGCUAUUGUCUGUACUGGCGUGUAGAAUUUCUACCUUCUGGGGAACUAUCAUGUUAUUAAUUUAGCGUGGUAGGAAACCAGGACCUUUACCUUGAAAAAAUUAGAGUGUUCAAAGCAGGCUUAUGUCUGAAUACAUUAGCAUGGAAUAAUAAAAUAGGACGGUGGUCCUGUUUUGUUGGUUUCUGAAUCACCGUAAUGAUUAAUAGGGAUAGUUGGGGGCAUUAGUAUUCAAUUGUCAGAGGUGAAAUUCUUGGAUUUAUUGAAGACUAACUUCUGCGAAAGCAUUUGCCAAGGAUGUUUCAUUAAUCAAGAACGAAAGUUAGGGAUCGAAGACGAUCAGA
rnacentral:rRNA from 1 species